rnacentral:lncRNA from 1 species
UGUUUGAUAAAAUAAUUGGUUAAAAACUUAUCCAUGGAUGCAUAGGGGUUGGCUGAGCCACACUCGAGCCCAUGUGCAGCCUGUAAGGAUCUGGUACCCACUAAAGAAUUAGUGUAAUUCUUUGAAUUGAAGGUAGAGACUAUCAAUUCAAAGAAAAUAGUAAAAAAAAUUUUUAGACUAAAAUUCAUAUCUUUAGGCUUAAUCAAUUCAUAUACUAAUUAGAUUUUAAUUUUUCUCUUUACAAUUAUGGCCA